rnacentral:rRNA from 1 species
AGAGUUUGAUCCUGGCUCAGAGCGAACGCUGGCGGCAGGCUUAACACAUGCAAGUCGAGCGGGCGUAGCAAUACGUCAGCGGCAGACGGGUGAGUAACGCGUGGGAACGUACCUUUUGGUUCGGAACAACACAGGGAAACUUGUGCUAAUACCGGAUAAGCCCUUACGGGGAAAGAUUUAUCGCCGAAAGAUCGGCCCGCGUCUGAUUAGCUAGUUGGUGAGGUAAUGGCUCACCAAGGCGACGAUCAGUAGCUGGUCUGAGAGGAUGAUCAGCCACAUUGGGACUGAGACACGGCCCAAACUCCUACGGGAGGCAGCAGUGGGGAAUAUUGGACAAUGGGGGCAACCCUGAUCCAGCCAUGCCGCGUGAGUGAUGAAGGCCCUAGGGUUGUAAAGCUCUUUUGUGCGGGAAGAUAAUGACGGUACCGCAAGAAUAAGCCCCGGCUAACUUCGUGCCAGCAGCCGCGGUAAUACGAAGGGGGCUAGCGUUGCUCGGAAUCACUGGGCGUAAAGGGUGCGUAGGCGGGUUUUUAAGUCA